rnacentral:rRNA from 1 species
UUGGAGCUAGCUGGUUCUCCUCGAAAUGCGUUGAGGCGCAGCGGUUGAUUAUGGGCUUCUAGGGGGUAAAGCGCUGUCUCGGUGCGGGCUGCGAAAGCGGUACCAAUCUGUUGCAAACUCGGAAUACCUAGAACGCUUUCAAUCGGCCAGUGAGACUGCGGGGGAUAAGCUCCGUAGUCAAAAGGGAAACAGCCCAGACCACCAGCUAAGGCUCCUAAAUAAAAGCUAAGUGGCAAAGGAGGUAAAAAUGCAGUGACAAUCAGGAGGUUUGCCUAGAAGCAGCCACCCUUUAAAGAGUGCGUAAUAGCUCACUGAUCAAGCGUUUUCGCGCCGAAAAUGACCGGAACUAAGUUUUUUGCCGAAGCUGUGGCUACAUCACAUAGAUGAUGUAGGGUAGAGGAGCGUUCCGUCCAGGGGGAAGCCAAGCGCGUAAGCCGCGGUCGACAGGACGGAAGUGAGAAUGUCAGAUUGAGUAACGUAAACAUUGGUGAGAAUCCAAUGCCCCGAAAACUCAAGGGUUCCUGCGCAAGGCUCGUCCGCGCAGGGUCAGUCAGGACCUAAGGUGAGGCCGAAAGGCGUAAUUGAUGGCAAGAAGGUUUAUAUUCCUUCACUAGUCUAGGCUUAGUCCUGAGGGACGAACAAAUAACACUCUACACAACAGCCAUACUUGGCAGUUUGGAUAAACCUGUUGUUGUUUGAUGCUAUUUAUUCCAAGAAAAGCUCAUUCGACUUUGAGUCUAGACUACCUGUACCGUAAACCGACACAGGUGAGUGGGUUGAAUAAACUAAGGGGAGCGAGAUAACUCUCUCUAAGGAACUCGGCAAAUUGGCUCUGUACCUUCGGAAGAAAGAGUGCCCCUCAGGGGGCCACAGUAAAGAGAUCCAGGCGACUGUUUACCAAAAACACAGGUCUCCGCAAAGUCGUAAGACGACGUAUGGGGGCUGACACCUGCCCAGUGCCAGAAGGUUAAAGAAGUUGGUCAAUCUUUGAUGAAGCUAACAACUGAAGCCCUGGUGAACGGCGGCAGUAACUAUAACUGUCCUAAGGUAGCGAAAUUCCUUGUCGGGUAAGUUCCGACCCGCACGAAAGGUGUAACGAUCUGGAUACUGUCUCAGAGAGAGACUCGGUGAAAUAAAACUAGCUGUGAAGAUGCGGCUUACCUGCACACGGACAGAAAGACCCUAUGAAGCUUUACUGUAACCUGGAAUUGCUUUCAAGCUUAUUUUGCGCAGCUUAGGUGGGAGGCUACGAACCUUUUCUUCCGGGAAGAGGGGAGCCAUCAGUGAGAUACCACUCUUGGUAAGCUAGAAAGCUCAGUCUUAACCGUUAUCCGGUAAGAUGACAGUUUCAGGCGGGCAGUUUGACUGGGGCAGUCACCUCCCAAAAGGUAAUGGAGGUGCACAAAGGUUCCCUCAGGUUGGACGGAAAUCAACCAUAGAGUGUAAAAGCAUAAGGGAGCUUGACUGCGAGACUGACAUGUCAAGCAGAGACGAAAGUCGGUUUUAGUGAUCCGACGGUGCUGCGUGGAAAGGCCGUCGCUCAACGGAUAAAAGUUACUCUAGGGAUAACAGGCUAAUCUCCCCCAAGAGUUCACAUCGACGGGGAGGUUUGGCACCUCGAUGUCGGCUCGUCGCAUCCUGGAGCGGAAGUACGUUCCAAGGGUUGGGCUGUUCGCCCAUAGAAAGCGGCACGCGAGCUGGGUUCAGAACGUCGUGAGACAGUUUGGUCCAUAUCCUGUGUAGGCGUUUAGAGCAUUGAAAGGAUCUCCCCUUUGUACGAGAGGACCAGGUGGGGACAGACCUCUAGUGUACCAGUUAUUCCGCCAGGGGUAAACGCUGGGUAGCUAUGUCUGGAGUAAAUAACUGCUGAAAGCAUAUAAGUAGGAAGUUCACCUUAAGAUGAGUGCUCUUUUGUCUCAAACGAUCAACCUUCUAUGAAGGAUUGACAAAUGAAAGACAAGGAAGGUCACGGCAAGACGAGCCGUUUGAUAGGCAUGAAGUAGAAGUGCAGUAAUGCAUUCUGAAGCUGACAUGUGCUAAUAGACCGAGGGAUUUGAUUUU